AAGAGACAGCAGUAGCCGCGGGAAUACGGAGGGUGCAAGCGUUAAUCGGAAUUACUGGGCGUAAAGCGCACGCAGGCGGUCUGACAAGUCAGAUGUGAAAUCCCCGGGCUCAACCUGGGAACUGCAUUUGUGACUGUAUAGCUAGAGUACGGCAGAGGGGGAUGGAAUUCCGCGUGUAGCAGUGAAAUGCGUAGAUAUGCGGAGGAACACCGAUGGCGAAGGCAAUCCCCUGGGCCUGUACUGACGCUCAUGCACGAAAGCGUGGGGAGCAAACAGGAUUAGAUACCCCGGUAGUCCCUGUCUCUUAUAC
rnacentral:rRNA from 1 species